AGUGAACGCUGGCGGUAGGCCUAACACAUGCAAGUCGAGCGGCAAGACAGUAAGCGUUUGCCUCUACGGGUGGCGGGUGACGGACGGGUGACGCAUACAUCGGCAUCCUAUAUUACGUGGGGGACAACGUAAGGACACAUACACUACUAGCGCAUACGUUCAACGGGUGAAAUCAGUAGAUCUACGCACCUUUCGCGUUUCUAUGAGCCGGUGUCGGAUUAGCUAGUUGGCGAGGUAACGGCUCACCAAGGCAACGAUCCGUAGCUGGUCUGAGAGGAUGAUCGGCCACACUGGAACUGAGACACGGUCCAGACUCCUACGGGAGGCAGCAGUAGGGAAUAUUGGGCAAUGGGCGCAAGCCUGAUCCAGCCAUACCGCGUGAGCGAAGAAGGCCUUCGGAUCGUAAAGCCCUGUUGUUAGGAAAGAAAAGCAGCAGAAGUAUACCCGGAUGUUCUGACGGUACCCAAUGAGAAAGCACCGGCUAACUACGUG
rnacentral:rRNA from 1 species